UUAAUUAGUGUCAUCAGUAGAUGUGUUUUCACAAAUAAUUUUCUUUCUCAACGUUAUUUAACUUUUGUUUGAAAUAUGAAAUCCAUUAUUGUUUGGUUUAUCGCGCCACUAAUUUUCUUCAUCAUUUAGCUAUGUAACAGUUUCGUAGUUUGUGUCUAUGUUAUCGUGUUUCUUUUCACGGUUACUGCUAUUAUUCGUAUAUUCUUUUCAGCAUACAAUGUGAAUUUCACUAUGAAAAUGGAUGAUACAGUAAUAUUGGUUAGACAUCCCUUCUAUUUCUAUCUUCUCAUUGUUACCAUAAGAGGAUCAUGAAGAAUUUCUUCAACGGAAUAAAAAUCAGCAAUAAAACUGGUAAAACAUAAAAAGAGCGAAAUAUUAAUCACCAGUCUUAGAUGGAGGUCUUCCAGUUCUUCCCCUUCUUGGAUAAGGAUACUCUUUGUAUCCUCCAAGCACUGGUCGGGCAAUAAGUGGACUAUCGGGAUCUCCAAAAUUAUUUCACAUAUCAUACUCAUAAAUCCUGUCCCAUUCCUCAAGCUUUACGCUUCCAGUUCCUCUGAAAUGAAGCAACUUGUCCUCUCUGUAGCUGCAGCCUCCUGGAGUUUCACUAGGAUGCCAAGCAUAAUUUCUAAGGUUCUUAUUUAGGUAAAGAUCUUAUAAUUUGAUAUUUAAUUUAACAUUGGAUACUUCUGAAAACCACGAGGUCCUGUUCAUAAAACUACAGAACAUCUUCAAAGUUCUUCAACUCAUUAAGAGUGAAAUCUCCCAUAUCAGCAAGCUGAAGAGAAAAGAAUUGUGCCGUAGCUUUUUGUGCAUUACUAAGGACGUUUUUCAGCUUCAAGGGCGCAAAUUUUUCAUCCUCUUUGUAGCUACACAAUGCUGUUGGAGUUUCAUUAGGAAGCCAAGCAUACUUUCAAAAGUUCUUAUAUAGGUAAAGAUCUUAUAAUUUGAUAUUUUAUUUAACAUUGGAUACUUAUGAAAACCAGGAGCUCCUGUUCAUAUUACUUUUGCUUCGAGGAUAGAACUAAACCUCACCAAUAUUACUGCCUGUCAUGGAAAACAUAUUUGUCAUUCAAGUAAUGGGAGAGUCAUCAAGCAUAAGUAUAGUAGCUAUAACCAAAGGCCAAAUGUGACACCUAAGAAUAUAUAUGAAAAGUCAGUCCCUGGUAGCUUAACUGAGGUAUCUAAGGGUCAUAGACAUAUUGUUAAUAGUGUUCCAUCAACUGACAUUCAUGAACUUCACUUAAAUGAUGAAUCAAACAUGGUCAAUAAUGCCAAGCGUGCGGUCAAUUCUUCCUCACAGCCGACAACGUAAUAGGACCAACAAGAACAAACAGAAGCGUGAUACUUUGAUGGUCGAGUUAUUAACCGUUGGAAACCUCUACCAUGAUAUGGAGGAUCAUCCAAAAUCAAACUCUUUAACCCAUUAGGCUAAGGUCCACGUACAGUCUACACUCAUUUCACGGGGUAUGUUGUUCUUUUUGUUGUCAUUAUUGUUUUUGUAAUUAGUAGUUGCUAUAUUUUUUCAUGUCGUGCUUCAUUUUCAUAUCUACAUUGAUUUGUUGUACUCAAACCGAGGAUCACAACCUCUAUACCUCCGUGAGGUAGGGGUAAUGUCUGCGUAUAUUUCACUUGUGGGAUUUCAUUAUUAUUGUUUUUGUUGUAUUUGUUUGAUUCAUUGAUUUGGGUUUUUGUUAAAGAUUCGAUGUUGAUGUUUAUUUAAUGAUUCUAUUGUUGUCAGGCAAUUCUUUUGGUCCAGAUGGUACAACCGGCAGGGCAGAAUGUAGGCAUCAAAACUCUGGGUGUUCCGCACCUACCUGACCUGCAACUGAGAGUUUUCCCAUAUAGUUGAGGGAAGCUGAUGGAAAACAUAUUUAAAAUAAGCAAUGAAAACCACAUGGCGCGUCUACGCAACGGGUUUCAACUGAAUUGAAAUAGUAUACUGCCAUUACUGGGCCCUUUCAAAUGAAGUUGCUUCAGUUGGGGAUAGCUGCUUUCGGAAGUGUUGAUUUCUACUGAUAUGCUACAAUUGUUCACUUCUUACUGUCAUUCCACGACUGCAAGUAUAGACGUGACAAAAAUCAAGUGUACAUAUUUGCUGCAGACACGGUUCCUAGACGGCUAACUACAGCACAACAUGUACAUUUACCCACAGUGGGAGCUGAUAAGUUUGGGAAUAUCUACUUUGGAGAUGCAUUUAAGGCAAUAGUUACCACCUUUAUAUGCCAGGGAUCACAUGGCCUACAGAUCUGCCUACUUCCCAGCUAAGGCUGCGUUAAAUGGAAAAAAUCGCAACAACAUAUGAAAUGCAAGGUGUAAAUGCCAUCCAUGUGUUCAAGUUCAUAACCCACUUUGGAGUGGACAAAUCUAUUGGGUUUUGUUUGAAGUACGCUCCAUUGAGAAAGUAAAGAAGUAUGAGCCAUACAAACUGAUCCACAGUGAAUUCGACACUAAGGCGGACAAGUCUUCAAAGUAAAUGGAGGAGCGAAAGACAAAAACGUUGAUCCUUAUGAUUUGUUGUUUUUGCCCAACUUUAUAUUUUUGUUAGUCAUAAUCUUCUUCGGAUAUAUCUUGUGUAUAUGAAAGUGAUUCCUCAAUUUAUAUCCAUACUUGUAUGGUUUAUCCUGA